rnacentral:rRNA from 1 species
AUUGAACGCUGGCGGCAUGCCUUACACAUGCAAGUCGAACGGCAGCACGGGGGCAACCCUGGUGGCGAGUGGCGAACGGGUGAGUAAUAUAUCGGAACGUGCCCUGGAGUGGGGGGUACGGUAGCGAAGUUACGCUAAUACCGCAUACGAUCUACGGGUGGAAAGUAGGGGGACCGGCCAAGGCCUCAUGCUCGUGGAGCGGCCGAUAUCUGAUUAG